rnacentral:rRNA from 1 species
GAGUUUGAUCAUGGCUCAGGAUGAACGCUGGCGGCGUGCCUAAUACAUGCAAGUCGAGCGAACAGACGAGGAGCUUGCUCCUCUGACGUUAGCGGCGGACGGGUGAGUAACACGUGGAUAACCUACCUAUAAGACUGGGAUAACUUCGGGAAACCGGAGCUAAUACCGGAUAAUAUAUUGAACCGCAUGGUUCAAUAGUGAAAGACGGUUUUGCUGUCACUUAUAGAUGGAUCCGCGCCGCAUUAGCUAGUUGGUAAAGUAACGGCUUACCAAGGCAACGAUGCGUAGCCGACCUGAGAGGGUGAUCGGCCACACUGGAACUGAGACACGGUCCAGACUCCUACGGGAGGCAGCAGUAGGGAAUCUUCCGCAAUGGGCGAAAGCCUGACGGAGCAACGCCGCGUGAGUGAUGAAGGUCUUCGGAUCGUAAAACUCUGUUAUUAGGGAAGAACAAAUGUGUAAGUAACUAUGCACGUCUUGACGGUACCUAAUCAGAAAGCCACGGCUAACUACGUGCCACG